UACGUAGGGUGCAAGCGUUGUCCGGAAUUAUUGGGCGUAAAGAGCUCGUAGGCGGUCUGUCGCGUCGGCUGUGAAAACCCGGAGCUCAACUCCGGGCCUGCAGUCGAUACGGGCAGACUGGAGUUCGGCAGGGGAGACUGGAAUUCCUGGUGUAGCGGUGAAAUGCGCAGAUAUCAAGAGGAAUACCGAUGGCGAAGGCAGGUCUCUGGGCUGACACUGACGCUCAUGCACGAAAGCGUGGGGAGCAAACAGGA
rnacentral:rRNA from 1 species